GUGCCAGCAGCCGCGGUAAUACGGAGGGUGCGAGCGUUAAUCGGAAUUACUGGGCGUAAAGCGCAUGCAGGUGGUUCAUUAAGUCAGAUGUGAAAGCCCGGGGCUCAACCUCGGAACCGCAUUUGAAACUGGUGAACUAGAGUGCUGUAGAGGGGGGUAGAAUUUCAGGUGUAGCGGUGAAAUGCGUAGAGAUCUGAAGGAAUACCAGUGGCGAAGGCGGCCCCCUGGACAGACACUGACACUCAGAUGCGAAAGCGUGGGGAGCAAACAGGAUUAGAUACCCUGGUAGUCC
rnacentral:rRNA from 1 species